rnacentral:lncRNA from 1 species
CCUUUCACCAACUUUGACUGAAAUGAAUAGGUUACAACCUUUAGCUUUCUGCCCCUUGGAAAACGGAAGCAUUUAGACAUCCGUAUUAAUAUUUGGAUCUAGAGUGUUCGUGUUUUAGCACUUCCUUUUUUGAAAGGAGAAGCAGACGUGUUGUGUUUUUAGGAACACUUCCAAGAAGUUUCUCCUCCUCUAUGAUGAAACCAACACAAGAAAGCCAAAAGGGCGUUUAACCCCUUGAAGCACUGAGAGUUUCCCUGCUGAUAUUCUUAGACUGUUCUUUUUCUAAAACGAGAAAGAGGUGGCUCACCAGGAGAAAGGCAUAGCAGAACCUGGACUGAGACCUACGGGAGACAGGCAGACACACAGGAGGUUGGACGUCGAGAGGAGCACAUCAGUGCAAGAACACAUGGGUGGCUGCCACUUCUCUCCCUUUCCUGAGAGGGAAAAACUCUCGACGCUGAGAGGAAUCCACCAACAGGCACCAGCACUCUGGCAGGCCACCGACCAAUGGAUUGACAUAGAGUUUGGCUGGGGCAGCCAGAGGAGAGCCUGGGCCGCUGAAUAACCCGACUUCAGGGGAAAACUAUUCUCCCUUUUGGCUCCCCCAUCUGCUGAGAGCU